UAUGUAAAUUCAAAAUAAACUAAAUUUCCACGAUAAUCUCAAAUCAGACACGUUGAUGUAUUAAACACUGUAAACCCCAAAAUUAAGUGCAUCCCUCCAUACGAAACUAAAGACACAAAGACAAGCCUAUGGCUGCUCAGUCUGCAAAAGGCACGUGGUUGGCGUUCACAUCACAUUAAAUACUAAAUACCAAGACAAACGCAGUUCUGUCGCUCUGAAUAAUGGCUUUCGAAUUGCGCGCCAAGAACUUCCGGGAACUAUCUGAAAAGUCUGCAUUGUCGGACUUCCGUUGCCGCGACUCUCAUUAGACGGCUCUGGAUCACGACGUUAACCAGCAGUUUUCUUCCCGGCGUGGUCGAGGUGUCGCGGUGAACCUGGCUGCCAAUCGGCGGCAGCUGCGUUGAGCGUAGUCGCAGGUGCGCAUCACUCAGGUGAACACGUGCUACCGUGCUGCAGGCCACGGUUGGUUGACUGCGACGUAAGUGAGUGAAAGAACUGAUGGGCGAGCUCUUCAACCUGAUGAGCGCAGAGCCAAAGGAUCUGAAGACCCCACUCCGCAACAAUCAUCGUCAUCAUCAUCACCAUCGUCGUCGUCGUCGUCUUCAUCAUCAUCCCUGCCGGUGCGGUCACAGUUGUCCAAAAGAGGGCGUUGAAUCAGCAGCGACUGGACUUUGGGCGUUAGGUCGUUGGAGACGUGUCACUUCUCAUCCAUGAGGCCUCUUCAGUUGGGUGAGCGCUGCAGCGCCGUCGAGAAUCUACAACCAAGUAUCCCCUACGGAUGUGGCAUGCUGCUGUGAACGCUGCCGACGCACGAGCGUCCGUCUGCCAGUGUGACGGUGCGUCGCCAAAAUGGAAAAGCGAGGACAACUGUAAAGGAAUGAAUGCAAGAUAAU